CAUUUUAUUUUGCAUUGUUCUGCUUAUGCAGGGCAAAGAUAUGUUCUGUGUGCUUACAUCAUUGGGAAUUAACACCUUUUCCCUAAGGACCAUUCUAGGUCAAGGAGCUUCCCCUAAAGAGAGGACAAUGGCAGUCAUAAACUUUCUGAGGAGCACAGGGUGUUACAAUAAAGUGCACAUUCUGACAAGUGGGGGGCAGCAAUGCACUAGCCGUGCCUAGUCUGCCGGAAAUACAAAGAAGAAGAAGAAGACGCAAGAAAGGAGUACAAAGAUGGCGAACAUGAAUUUUUUUUCCCCAAAACUUUAUUUCAAUAAAUGCAACAUACAGUAACGAAAAAAAAGGGAAGGCCACAAUAACGUUCUCAGUAUUAUGAGAAAUAUUUUUUUUUCUUCUUCUUCUUCCUUCUCCUCUCUCUCCCUCUCCUUCCAACAGGAUUAAAUGUACAAACCAUCUUGGCAAUUAACAAUUUGAAACAUUCUGGUGCAGUUUACAAGGCACUGGUAACUUAACAAAAUAAGAAAAGAAGAUAGAUAUAUACACACACACACACAAACACACACA